UAGUCCUGUUAAGAGAGGCAAAAAUAAUUACAUUUCCCCCCCCUGCUUCUAAUGCAUUUGUAAUAUUGUUCUGUUUGAAAGCCACAUAACAAUGAACUUGCCUUCAGCCUGGAAAGCCAAUGCUAAAUCCCUAAUGAGGACUCACUGGAAAGCACCAAACUCUCUUUCAGCCUAAAGCAAACGAUGUUGAGGAUGAGGAGAAAACUGGAAUAGUUGUGAGGAAUAUGACAAAUGAAGAGGGCGAGGCUCUUCACACAUUAAAACUAAAACUAAAGUCUGACACAAAGCUAAAGUAUUAACAUACAAAAUAUCUUGAAUCUUUGUGAACACAAUUUAGAAAUAAAAUCUACUUGUUCAUCCAAAAUAGAAGUAACUCAGUUGACCACCGUAACUUUCCCCAAAUCUGUUCAGUAUCAAAAUAUUACUUUUACCAUGUGCCCAGAGAGUUCUGCCUGUGCCUCCUCCUCCUCCAUCUCAGUUUUGCCCUUGCAGAACUUAGCAGGGAGAAGGAGGACAGGGACAAAGCCAGAAGCAGAGGACUCUGCCUGCCACUUCUUGGCCUCGCUGUCUCCACCCUGCUGCUCCCAAUGGGCAUCAGACACUGGUGAAUUCCAAUGAAGGCCUUUUUCAUUUCUGCACAGCAUAAGCCUUGAGAUAGCUGAGAAGCAGGGAGUGGCUGCUGUCAGCUGAUAUUCAAACAGAGAGCAAAUUUAGAGAGUAGGGUUCAUUAUUGCUCUUCUGGCUGAAAAAUGGCCGCACUGUAAGACUUUUCCCAUGGCAUCACAAAGCUGAAAAAGACCCAGAAUCCUCUAUUCACACUUCUUACCCUAGAAGUUACUUUCUGCAAAUACAAGUGAGGGUGGAUGUUUAAAAUAUCCCCCUGGCGAAAAAGGCAAAUGCAAAAAAAUUGCAGAGAGGCAUAUUUUUGAUGCUUUCUUUUUGGAAUGGCUAAUUGAUUCUAUUUUUCAAAGGCUACAAAAGACACCUUAAAUAAAACAGCAGCAAAAAAGUAGGGAAACACUUCGGCAUGACUGUUUAUCUUCUUAAAAUACCCCCCCAUCAAAAGUCCUCCUCAGCUUCAAUAACUAACAGUUCCUUAGUUUUGCACAAACGACUCAAGAAAUAGCGAAGUCUGUGUGCCUGGAUGUGUUUGUGUUCUGUAAGGAGGAAUUUAAAAAUAACCCUCAAAAUAGGGAGUGUCUUCUGUAUUUCUCUCCCUCCUUCUACCCCUUGGUACUCAUACAUUUCGGCUCCCGAACGAUUGAAACCUGGAAGUGAGUGUUCCGGUUUUCAAACAUUCUUUCAGAAGCUGAACGUCCAGCGCAGCUUCCGAUUGGCUGCAGGAUGCCCCUGCAGCCAAUCAGAAGCCACACCUUGGUUUCUGAAUGUUUCAGAUGUCGAAUGGACUUCCGGAAUGCAUUCUGUUCAAAAACCAAGGUACGACUGUAUUCCAUUUUGUUCCAUGCCACCCUCCAAUACUGCUCCCCUCUCAUCCCAUUGCCUUGUACUUCAGUCCUCCCUGCUUGUGUCGGCUGUGAAGCACUCUGGAGGCAAGCCCAACCCAGCCCAGCAGAACCACAACACCAAGCAUGGCACUUCUAGGCAUUGUGAGGCCCCUCAAAACUGGCUGUUGUGGACUAACCAUAUUCACAGAUUUUUAUCUCUAAUGCCCACUGACCAGCAGUGAAGUCUGUGUGAAAAUAAGUAAAUAAAAGUUUGCAUCUGAAAGCAACAGCCUGUGUAUUGGGCUUUUAUUGGAAUUGUCCCCACCCCCAAUCCAAGUUUGGAGGAGGAACAGAAUUCCCAAGCCAAUGUUUCAGUUAUUCAGUGCAACUUGUUUUUUGUUGUGAGGUGAGCACCAUAACCCCAAUAUUAUAGUUUUGAGGGAACAAUGACUAAUUUUCAAACUUUUUCUUGUAGCCACUGGGUUCUGGACUACAUAUGUGCCAAAUUCUAAAUUUCUGGGUGCCUUGGAUGUACAUUAACCAUUUGAGAGAGAAGUGCAAAUUUGCCCUCCACUUUUAGGUAUCUUAUUUUCACAUCUUCCUAGUGUCCUAGUCUAUGCAUGACAAGCCAGAUGCAGUCCUAUCUGGCCUGCUAACCACCCAUUUAGACUUUUGCAAUGGGUUAGACAUGGAGCCAACUUUUAAAAAGCACUGAAAAUUGCCGUUGGUCCAGAAUAUGCUCCCAAGAUUAUUUUGGCCACAUUACAUCCCAGCUCUGCCAGCUGCACUGGAUCCCAAUUAAGUUUCUGGGCUCAAUUUAAAGUGAUGCUUGCAUACUUUUAAAGCUCUUAACAACUUUAAAGGCCAAGUUACUUUUAAAAUUUUUUUAUUUUCUCUGAUCCUUAACAUCCUCAUCAGAGGAGCCCGUGCUUCAAGUGCCCUUGGCAAAUGAAGUGAGAUGGGUGGCUCCUAGGAAGAAGGCCUUUGUGGUGGUGGCAUCCUGUCAUUGUAGCACCCUCCCAUCUUUUUAAAAUUAUAGGCUUCUCAAAUCAGGGUUUGUGAUUUAUUUUAUAUGCAUGUUCUUAAUUGCUGUACUUAUUCAUCCUUCAAUAAUAACUUUUAUCAUCUGUAUCAUCAUAUUUAGUAUUGUAUUUUAUUCCUUUAAUUUUUUGUGAGCCACCCAGAAGGUAUAUGUCAUUGCACAGUGUGGAGGAAUGAAGGUACACAUCUGUCUGUUUUAGGGCUUGGAACAGACUUUCAAAGUUCAAAGCCUUGUGCUGUUGUGGACCUGUUUAGCAGGAGCUGCUUGGUGGCAGCAGGGAGCAAAGAGACUGGGAGCUUCUCUCUGGGAGCUGACAUCUUCACAAAGUCAAGAUAAUGAAGAAAUUACACAUCUUUGUACUUACGAGAGUUUGUUGAAAUAAUUGGCUGGUGAAGAACUGAACGAAACAGUAGUUACUAUCCGGAAACACUGUUCAGCAGAGUUCAGAGUUGGACAUCAGAAUUGGACAUUUGCUGAUUAUACAAACUUGAUUUCCGCUGGGUAAAGUCUGGCACCGUGACUUAUUCAAGGACUUUCAGAGACUUCAGUUUGAUAGUUUUCAUGUUUUGCAUUAUUCCAUAAAGUUUUCUAUACUGUAA